CCUACGGGUGGCUGCAGUGGGGAAUAUUGGACAAUGGGCGAAAGCCUGAUCCAGCCAUGCCGCGUGUGUGAAGAAGGCCUUCGGGUUGUAAAGCACUUUCAGUGGGGAAGAAAGCCUUGGGGCUAAUACCCUCGAGGAAGGACAUCACCCACAGAAGAAGCACCGGCUAACUCCGUGCCAGCAGCCGCGGUAAUACGGAGGGGUGCGGCGUUAAUCGGAAUUACUGGGCGUAAAGCGCGCGUAGGCGGUCUGAUAAGCCGGUUGUGAAAGCCCCGGGCUCAACCUGGGAACGGCAUCCGGAACUGUCAGGCUAGAGUGCAGGAGAGGAAGGUAGAAUUCCCGGUGUAGCGGUGAAAUGCGUAGAGAUCGGGAGGAAUACCAGUGGCGAAGGCGGCCUUCUGGACUGACACUGACGCUGAGGUGCGAAAGCGUGGGUAGCAAACAGGAUUAGAUACCCGAGUAGUC
rnacentral:rRNA from 1 species